ACCUACGGGGCGCAGCAGUAGGGAAUCUUCCACAAUGGGCGAAAGCCUGAUGGAGCAACGCCGCGUGGGUGAAGAAGGUCUUCGGAUCGUAAAACCCUGUUGUUAGAGAAGAAAGUGCGUGAGAGUAACUGUUCACGUUUCGACGGUAUCUAACCAGAAGCCACGGCUAACUACGUGCCAGCAGCCGCGGUAAUACGUAGGUGGCAAGCGUUAUCCGGAUUUAUUGGGCGUAAAGGGAACGCAGGCGGUCUUUUAAGGUUGAUGUGAAAGCCUUCGGCUUAACCGGAGUAGUGCAUUGGAAACUG
rnacentral:rRNA from 1 species